rnacentral:tRNA from 1 species
GACGCCAUAGUGGCCUAGGACACCGCCCUUUCACGGCGGUAACAGGGGUUCGAGUCCCCUAGGGGACGCCA